rnacentral:rRNA from 1 species
CACGCCGUAAACGAUGAUUACUAGGUGUGUGUGGUAUCGACCCCACACGUGCCGCAGCUAACGCAAUAAGUAAUCCGCCUGGGGAUUACGGCCGCAAGGUUGAAACUCAAAGGAAUUGACGGGGGCCCGCACAAGCGGUGGAGCAUGUGGAUUAAUACGUCACUAACCGUAGAACCUUACCCAGGCUUGACAUCCCGGGAAGCUUCCUGAAAGGGAGGCGUGCUCGCAAGAGAGCCCGGAGACAGGUGUUGCAUGGCUGUCGUCAGCUCGUGUCGUGAGAUGUUGGGUUAAGUCCCGCAACGAGCGCAACCCUCACGGUCUGUUGCCAGCACUCGCAAGAGGAUGGGCACUCUGGCCGAACUGCCCGGGUAACCGGGAGGAAGGUGGGGAUGACGUCAAGUCAGCAUGGCCCUUACGCCUGGGGCUUCACACAUGCUACAAUGGCCGGUACAGAGGGUCCCAAGCCCGCGAGGGGGAGGCAAUCCCAAAAAGCCGGUCUCAGUUCGGAUCGCAGGCUGCAACUCGCCUGCGUGAAGUUGGAAUCGCUAGUAACCGCCGGUCAGCUAAACGGCAGUGAAUACGUUCCCGGGCCUUGUACUCACCGCCAGUACGGGAACCAUGUCAA